rnacentral:rRNA from 1 species
CGAACGAGAAAGCCCUUCGGGGUGAGUACAGUGGCGAACGGGUGAGUAACACGUGGGUAACCUGCCCCUCGCAGGGGGACAACCGGGGGAAACCCCGGCUAAUACCCCGUACGCUCCGAAGCCCGCAUGGGCUUCGGAGGAAAGGCAGCUUCGGCCAUCCGGCGAGGGAUGGGCCCGCGGUCCAUUAGCUAGUUGGUGGGGUAACGGCCCACCAAGGCGACGAUGGAUAGCUGGUCUGAGAGGAUGAUCAGCCACACUGGGACUGAGACACGGCCCAGACUCCUACGGGAGGCAGCAGUCGGGAAUCUUGCGCAAUGGGCGAAAGCCUGACGCAGCAACACCGUGUGGGCGACGAAGGCCUUCGGGUCGUAAAGCCCUGUUGUUGGGGACGAAGGGCGAAGGGUUAAUAGCCCCUAGCCUGACGGUACCCUUCGAGGAAGCCCCGGCUAACUACGUGCCAGCAGCCGCGGUAAUACGUAGGGGGCGAGCGUUGUCCGGAAUUAUUGGGCGUAAAGAGCGUGUAGGCGGUUCGGUAAGUCUGCCGUGAAAACCCGGGGCUCAACCCCGGGCGUGCGGUGGAUACUGCCGGGCUAGAGGGUGGUAGAGGCGAGUGGAAUUCCCGGUGUAGCGGUGAAAUGCGCAGAUAUCGGGAGGAACACCAGUAGCGAAGGCGGCUCGCUGGGCCAUUCCUGACGCUGAGACGCGAAAGCUAGGGGAGCGAACAGGAUUAGAUACCCUGGUAGUCCUAGCCGUAAACGAUGAACACUAGGUGU